rnacentral:rRNA from 1 species
CCCUUAGAUGUUCUGGGCCGCACGCGUGCUACACUGAUGCAUUCAACGAGUCUAAAACCUGGUCUGAUAGGGCUGGGUAAUCUUUUGAAAGUGCAUCGUGAUUGGGAUAGAUGAUUGCAAUUCUUCAUCUUCAACGAGGAAUGCCUAGUAAACGCAAGUCAUCAGCUUGCAUUGAUUACGUCCCUGCCCUUUGUACACACCGCCCGUCGCUCCUACCGAUUGAGUGAUCCGAUGAAUACCAUGGAUUGAGAGUACGAAUAGGUUCGCUUAUUUCUGCUGCUCGAGAAGUGGAGUAAAUCUUAUCAUUUAGAGGAAGGAGAAGUCGUAACA